AUACGGAGGAUCCGAGCGUUAUCCGGAUUUAUUGGGUUUAAAGGGUGCGCAGGCGGGAGAUUAAGUCGGCGGUGGAAAUUUUCAGCUCAACCGUGAAAGUGCCUUCGAAACUGGGUUCCUUGUGUGUAGAUGAAGGAGGCGGAAUUUGUGGUGUAGCGGGGUAAUGCACAGAUAUCACGAGGAACUCCGAUUGCGCAGGCAGCUUACUAAACUACUACUGACGCUCAGGCACGAAGGCGUGGGGAUCAAACAGGAUUAGAUACCCUGGUAGUCCACGCAGUAAACGAUGAUUACUAGCUGUUUGCGAUACAAUGUAAGCGGCUGAGCGAAAGCGUUAAGUUAUCCACCUGGGGAUUACGUUCGCAAGAAUGAAACUCAAAUGAAUUGACGGGG
rnacentral:rRNA from 1 species